UACGAAGGGGGCUAGCGUUGCUCGGAAUCACUGGGCGUAAAGCGCACGUAGGCGGAUUGCUAAGUCAGGGGUGAAAUCCUGGAGCUCAACUCCAGAACUGCCUUUGAUACUGGCGAUCUCGAGUCCGGGAGAGGUGAGUGGAACUGCGAGUGUAGAGGUGAAAUUCGUAGAUAUUAGGAAGAACACCAGUGGCGAAGGCGGCUCACUGGCCCGGUACUGACGCUGAGGCGCGAAAGCGUGGGGAGCAAACGGG
rnacentral:rRNA from 1 species